UACGGAGGGUGCAAGCGUUAUCCGGAUUCACUGGGUUUAAAGGGUGCGUAGGUGGGUCUGUAAGUCUGUGGUGAAAUCUCCGAGCUUAACUUGGAAACUGCCAUGGAUACUAUAGAUCUUGAAUACUGUGGAGGUUAGCGGAAUAUGUCAUGUAGCGGUGAAAUGCUUAGAUAUGACAUAGAACACCAAUUGCGAAGGCAGCUGGCUACACAAAUAUUGACACUGAUGCACGAAAGCGUGGGGAUCAAACAGG
rnacentral:rRNA from 1 species